AGGAUCCCCAUGACGGAAAUGACAACAAUCCUAAAGCCUGGGAUUUUUUGUCUGAAAAUCAACUGCAGACUUUAAAUUUCCGGCAGAGAAAGGACUCUCUCAUUCAGCACUUGGUUCUGCUGUGUGAGAAGCAUGCAAAUCCCUAUGACGCAGCCCUUUGAGACACAGUUUAUACUCAAUUUCAUCAGCACAAGAAAGUUUGGGAUGCUUUUCAGAUGAGUAAAGGACCAGGUGAAGAUGCUGACCUUUUUGAUAUGAAACAACUUAAAAAUUCAUUUAAGAAAAUUCCUCAGGCCGGGCGCGGUGGCUCAUGCCUAUAAUCCCAACACUUCAGGAGGCAGAGGCAGGUGGAUCACGAGGUCAUGAGUUCAAGACCAGCCUGGCCAAGAUGGUGAAACCCCGUCUCUAUUAAAAAAAUACAAAAAUUAGCCAGGUGCAGUGGCAGGUACCUGUAAUCCCAGCUACUCGGGAGGCUGAGACAGAAGAAUCACUUGAACCCACGGGCGGAGGUUGCAGUGAGCUGAGAUUACACCACUGCAUUCCAGCCUGGGCAACAGAGUGAGACUCCGUCUCAGAAAAAAAAAAAAAAAAAGAAAGAAAAGAAAAAAAAGAAAAUUCUGCAGUAAGCAUUUACAAAUGUGACAGCUUUAGAGACAUUGAGGGGAAUGCAGUCCGGAUUAGAAUUGCCUGGGGAACACAGUACACAAAUCCAAGUCAGUACAUAGAAACCUACCACCUUUCUUUUUCUCUCCUUCCUUCCUGCCUGCCUGCCUGCCUGCCUGCCUUUUCCUUCCUUUCUCUUUUUUUCCCAGACUGCAUGUGCCUUCACUUUUUCCUCCAAGCUGAGGUGCAAUAGACCGCUUCUGGGUCAGGCACUGAUAAUUGCUAGCAGACACCAUCAGACUGUGAAAAUGGAUCUGAGAAGCUGACAUCUGGACUCCCAAGCCUAUUGCUUUUAAACAGUAUGAUCAGAUCUUUGAAGCUCACAACUCAACGACACCUCUAUAGGAAAGAAGCCUUGGGCUGGAUAUAAAUAUGGAUUCUAGAAUUAUUCAUGAAAACAUAGUAGAAAAAGGAAGAGUCCAAGGAAUAACUCAAAAAGCUGUUGGGGACGAUCCUCAACCACAACUAGAAUUUGCACAAUUGAAGCUUGAAAGGAAAUUCAAAAGUGAUUUAAAUGGGACCAUCUUGGCUGAGAAGGAAGAAUCCCCUUCAGUGAGUAAUAAAGUUCUCUUGCUCACGUCUUUUGGAAGCAAUGAAAUCCUUAACCCCCGCCAGCCUUGCAGAUAGACCUCUUUCUCCACCACUCACUUGCAUAUCCAGCAAGGGAAUGAGUUAUUUUAAAAUUAGAGAUAAAUGAGACGUGGGUGGUUUUG
rnacentral:lncRNA from 10 species